ACGAACGCUGGCGGCGUGCCUAAUACAUGCAAGUCGAACGGUCUUUCUAUGGAAGCUUGCUUCCACUGAGAAGAUAGUGGCGAACGGGUGAGUAACACGUGGGUAACCUGCCCAUAAGAGGGGGGAUAACAUCCGGAAACGGGUGCUAAUACCGCAUAGUUUUCUUGAUCGCAUGAUCGGGAAAGGAAAGACGGCCUUUGUGCUGUCGCUUAUGGAUGGACCCGCGGCGUAUUAGUUAGUUGGUGAGGUAACGGCUCACCAAGACGAUGAUACGUAGCCGACCUGAGAGGGUGAUCGGCCACAUUGGGACUGAGACACGGCCCAAACUCCUACGGGAGGCAGCAGUAGGGAAUCUUCCGCAAUGGACGAAAGUCUGACGGAGCAACGCCGCGUGAGUGAAGAAAGGUUUUCGGAUCGUAAAACUCUGUUGUCAGAGAAGAACAAGUUGGAGAGUAACUGCUCCAGCCUUGACGGUAUCUGACCAGAAAGCCACGGCUAACUACGUGCCAGCCGCAGC
rnacentral:rRNA from 1 species